rfam:Schistosoma haematobium scaffold1335_6, whole genome shotgun sequence.
GUACUGGUGAGGAGUCCCACAAUCGGACGAAACGGCCGUCCAGUGC